GUCGGUGUAGCCGAUGAUGGUGACGCCGUUGGGCGUCACGAUCGCCUCGUCCUUGACGGUGCCCCCGACGUUGCCGCCGUUCUGCGCCGCCAUGUCGACG
rnacentral:tRNA from 1 species